UACGAAGGGUGCAAGCGUUACUCGGAAUCACUGGGCGUAAAGCGUGCGUAGGCGGUUCGUUAAGUCUGCUGUGAAAGCCCUGGGCUCAACCUGAGAACUGCAGUGGAUACUGGCGGACUAGAGUGUGAUAGAGGAUGGUGGAAUUCCCGGUGUAGCGGUGAAAUGCGUAGAGAUCGGGAGGAACACCAGUGGCGAAGGCGGCCAUCUGGAUCAACACUGACGCUGAGGCACGAAAGCGUGGGGAGCAAACAGG
rnacentral:rRNA from 1 species